rnacentral:lncRNA from 11 species
AGUAGCUGCGUCCCAACCCGAUAGUUAAAACGUUCCACCUGGACGUAAACACAUCUCUUUUACGCCUUAAUGUGUCUCCUCUGAUUGCAAUCGCCAACCAUUGUUGUCCGGUAUAGACUCGAAGCAUUUCUAUGCAUACUAUGUCGGCAAAAUUCGUACGUGGUUUCCCCAUCUAAUUGGACCGUCGAUGCCACAUUGACCCAAGCUGUGUGAUGUGUGAAGCCACACAGCUUGGGUAGAAUAACGCAUUCCGCGCCGUACUCCUGAAAAGGGAAAAUAGCACAAAAGCGUGGUGCCUUGCCGACUACUUCACGAUUGAAAACGAUAACCGCGCAAAAAAGCUGUCAGUAUCUUUGCAAAGCAGAACGGGGCUCAGGGAAAGGACAAUUUGGAGAAGCAGCUAACUGUGCGUUAUUAUGUCAGACGUUCGUUAGCAAAAGUGACGCAACGAAAUAUAGAGAAAGGAAAGAGCCAGACCAGAUGACGGAAACAGUGUGUGGCGGAUUGAGAAACAUUCGAACGUUGAACUGAAUCAUCGCUUCGAAGGCAAAUCUAAAGGGUCGAGAGAUUUCCACAGCUCAAUGCUGAGGUCGAUCACUGGUGCCAUAACGAUACGGAUUGAAGCAGCAAAUUUCGGCCUUGGAAAUCCAGGUCUCACGGAGCACAACGAAGCGAGCAGAUUUCAAUUGAUGGACACGACCUCGCCGUUGUCGCCGCCAGCAACGCCGAGAGAACGAAGGGCGGCAAGGUCCUUAAAAAGACUCGCAGCUUCUCGUAUUCCAAUGCGCGUAAAUGGAUAUGGAUAGACCGGAACUGCGGUAAAAUGCUGUACUGCCUUUGUUGUAUGCAGCUUCGUGCAACAAGGACUAGCCUGAAAAAAGGUCACUUCUACGGGAGCGGUAGAUGGGAACACUGGUCGCCUGGACAAACAAUUGUCCCAAAUGCACAAAAUGAUACAAGAAGCGCCAUAUUGAAACCAACACCAUAGA